UGGGGAAUUUUGGACAAUGGGCGAAAGCCUGAUCCAGCAAUGCCGCGUGUGUGAAGAAGGCCUUCGGGUUGUAAAGCACUUUUGUCCGGAAAGAAAUCCUUGGCUCUAAUACAGUCGGGGGAUGACGGUACCGGAAGAAUAAGCACCGGCUAACUACGUGCCAGCAGCCGCGGUAAUACGUAGGGUGCAAGCGUUAAUCGGAAUUACUGGGCGUAAAGCGUGCGCAGGCGGUUUGCUAAGACCGAUGUGAAAUCCCCGGGCUCAACCUGGGAACUGCAUUGGUGACUGGCAGGCUAGAGUAUGGCAGAGGGGGGUAGAAUUCCACGUGUAGCAGUGAAAUACGUAGAGAUGUGGAGGAAUACCGAUGGCGAAGGCAGCCCCCUGGGCCAAUACUGACGCUCAUGCACGAAAGCGUGGGGAGCAAACAGGAUUAGAUACCCUGGUAGUCCACGCCCU
rnacentral:rRNA from 1 species